CUUUAUUUUACUGCACCUGCGCACCUAAUCGCUUACCUUUCAACCGAUCUCUCUUUCCUCGUUCACUCAUUCAAUUUUAUUUACACGUGGCCUUCUCCUGAUUAUGCGUGGCCCAAAAUUGACGUGAACGGAACUAAAAAUUAAAUUAAAUUCCAUUCAAUUUGGACAAACCGAAAUAUAAAAUCGCAUCACGAGCGGCGAUUGAAAACCGGUGUGAUACGAAGUUACAACAGAAAAGAAUUGCGGUGGCCGUCGGGAUCCGGCGAGGCUCGUCGGAUUUU
rnacentral:misc_RNA from 1 species